rnacentral:snRNA from 1 species
AUACUUACCUGGCAGGGGAGAUACCAGGAUCAUGAAGGUGGUUUUCCCAGGGAGAGGCUUAUCCAUUGCACUCUGCAUGUGCUGACCCCUGCGAUUUCUGCAAAUGCGAAAAACUCGACCGCAUAGUUUGUGGUAGUGGGUUACUGAGUUCGCACUUUCCCUUG